GUCGAGGGGCAUCAGGAAGAAGCUUGCUUUCUUUGCUGGCGACCGGCGCACGGGUGAGUAACACGUAUCCAAUCUGCCCUUUACUCGGGGAUAGCCUUUCGAAAGAAAGAUUAAUACCCGAUAGCAUAAUGAUUCCGCAUGGUUUCAUUAUUAAAGGAUUCCGGUAAAGGAUGGGGAUGCGUUCCAUUAGGUUGUUGGUGAGGUAACGGCUCACCAAGCCUUCGAUGGAUAGGGGUUCUGAGAGGAAGGUCCCCCACAUUGGAACUGAGACACGGUCCAAACUCCUACGGGAGGCAGCAGUGAGGAAUAUUGGUCAAUGGGCGCUAGCCUGAACCAGCCAAGUAGCGUGAAGGAUGAAGGCUCUAUGGGUCGUAAACUUCUUUUAUAUAAGAAUAAAGUGCAGUAUGUAUACUGUUUUGUAUGUAUUAUAUGAAUAAGGAUCGGCUAACUCCGUGCCAGCAGCCGCGGUAAUACGGAGGAUCCGAGCGUUAUCCGGAUUUAUUGGGUUUAAAGGGAGCGUAGGUGGACUGGUAAGUCAGUUGUGAAAGUUUGCGGCUCAACCGUAAAAUUGCAGUUGAUACUGUCAGUCUUGAGUACAGUAGAGGUGGGCGGAAU
rnacentral:rRNA from 1 species